rnacentral:rRNA from 1 species
GACAGAGGUCCCGAGCGUUAGACGGAAUCACUGGGCUUAAAGCGUGUGUAGGCGGAAGGGUAAGUACCUUGUGAAAUCCCACGGCUCAACCGUGGAACUGCUUGGUAUACUGCUUCUCUUGAGCCAACUAGGGGCGACCGGAACAAACGGUGGAGCGGUGAAAUGCGUAGAUAUCGUCUGGAACGCCGAUGGUGAAAACAGGUCGCUGGGGUUGUGCUGACGCUGAGACACGAAAGCCAGGGGAGCGAACGGG